ACGUUUUGGUGAAAUCCAGUUGCUCUCCUAGUCUCCCCACAAGCAGCCGCCACAGGCCAGCCGACGCGAGCUCGGUGCCUCGGCCUCCCUGCCACGCCGCCGCAUCCACGCCCCAAGUCCUUCAGCGCCACCUCGCCAACCCAGCCACACUUCAGCGCCAAGCAAGGCCAGGCGUCCAGCUUGAUGUUGCCAUCCUCGCCACGAAGCACCUCCCCAAGCCCGAACGCCUCAGCUACAGCAUGUUCUCUUCUUUGUUUUUCUGGAAGCUGCAGCAUGUUCAAUCCAAGUAUCCAACGACUUUUGCGUUGAUUGAUUUCGUCUGUUUGUACGAAUGGGAAUGGAAUCGAUUAACUUCCAGUUGAUAUCGCUGUGCAUACAUAUGUAUUACAUGGAUCCAUUCUCGGAGAUGUUUCUUCGCUUAAUUGAAUAUUGUUUUCUGUCCC
rnacentral:sRNA from 1 species